rnacentral:lncRNA from 1 species
GGGCACUGAAGAAUUGGGAGCCCUUAGGAGCGCCUAUUCUUGGCCCACACCAGGAACAAGGACAUGAGAAAGGGCUGUGAAAGGCAUCUCAAGUAUUCAUAGCUGAGUCUCAUAUGAAUCUAUUUUUUCCCUAUCUCUCUGUGCAGCUGAGUUGUUCCUUGGGAGAUAUAUUCCACAACUGCAGUGUUCUUGGUGAUGUUUUAAAAGGUAAGUGACCAGCCUGGGCUAAUCCUUGAGUCAGGCCAAAGGCCUGUGCCCUCUGAACUCAGCCCACGGUUCCAUCUUGCUCAAUAUAAGGAUAACCCUAGAACAUCACUAGAGAGAAGCAGUGUGGACCUCACAUGCGUGUCUGGAAGUGGGUGCAUUAUGGCCAGGAUUUUGGUAGUGGCUCAGAAGUGAAAGAGCUCUGCUUGUAAUGCCCAGUUAAAUUAACCUGAGAAAACACUGUUAAAUAACAUGUUUACUAACUGGAUAAUUACUCUGUUGGGCUGCCCUGGUGGCUCAGUGGUAGAGAAUUUGCUUGCCAGUGCAGGAGGCACAAGUUUGAUCGCUGGGUAGAAGAUCCCUGGAGAAGGAAAUGGCAAGCCACUCCAGUUUUCUUGCCUGGGAAAUCCCAUGGACAGAGGAGCCUGGCGGCUACGGUCCAUGGGUUCAUAAAGAGUUGGACACGACUGAGCAGCUAAACAACAACAAUGAUUACUCUGUUGUUAUCAUCCAUUUGGUUUUAGAAAUGGGAUGAACAGAGUUCCCAGUGGAGCUGAGAGAGGAGCUGGAUUUGCCCUGGAAUGCUAUCCACCAGGACAAUUCCCAUAAUCUAGAGUGUACCAUACAGGAAGCAUGGCUGAGUCACAGACAUGGCCAUCAACAAUCUCCAGGACUCAUUCGAAGACUUGAUUACUCUUUUCAAUGGCAGAGAACUUUCAGGCUGUGUUGAGCUGUGGCUGCUGACUCAGUCCUUGACAUGGGCCUACAGGUAUGCUAAUCACACCUCAGCAAAGGUGCCAGUGACUCUAGUUUCUACUCCAGUUGCUACAACUAGUGAAAACUACAUUUAAACUGCGAGCACCAACCAGUGACUUCUGAUAGCUCUGGGGUCAGAUUCUCCUCGUGGCUUAGGCCGGCUCAGAGCUGCAAAGACUACCAUCCCACCCACUCUAUUGUGUUCUCCUCCUGUUUUCUCUCCUCUCUCUGAUUUUUGCUUCUGGGUUUGGCAACCCACUCCAGUAUUCAUGUCUGGAGAAUCCCAUGGAUAGAGGACCCUGGAAGGGUACAGUCUGUGGAGUCGCAAAGAGUUGGACACAACUGAGUGACUAACAUCUCUACUAUUAAUCUCUUUAAACCCUGCUCCUCCCACGCCUGUUUUGGUCAGUAGGGUGUGGGUCCCCAGGUGCACUAGGGCAGGGUUAACAUUUUUCAGAGUGCCACCAAGAGCAAGGUUGAGUGGUCUACUUUACAUAAUAACCCAGGGGCAUUGGAAGGCUAGCCUCAGUAGUAACCAGCCUUUACUUUUCCUGGUUCAAGAACACUAUUUGCUCUGUUUUUUACCCACCUAAGCAUUUAGCCUUCCAUCUUUAAUCUCUCUAAACUUUCCCAUUGCUUUGAGGCAAUGGGUUGCUUUAUACACCAUUGGUAGAAGGAUCUAAGUGAAAGUUGCUUAGGUGUGUCCAACUCUGUGACCCCAUGAACUAUACAGUCCAUGGAAUUCUCCAGGCCAGAAUACUAGAGUGGGUAGCCUUUCCCUUCUCCAGGGAUCUUCCCAACCCAGGGAUUGAACCCAGGUCUCCCACACUGCAGACAGAUUUUUUACUAGCUGAGCCACAAGGGAAGCCCAGAAGGAUCUAAGCAACCCUAUAAGUAAAUUCUUGAGUGUUAAGGACCCAGAGCAACAUCCCAGAGUAGUCAACCCUGCCCAAUCAGGUCACUUAGAAUUAAGAUGCUCACCUGUGUGAUCUCCUAAGCUGUUUUAAAAGAAGGAGCUCAAAUAGGUAUAAGUACCACUAUUUUCAUUAUAGACAGUUUUUUUUUUGUUUGUUUGUUUAACUUUUCCAUUACAUUUACUGUCUCAGCUACUUUAUUGUCCAUAAAACCCAAGAAGAA